rnacentral:pre_miRNA from 1 species
GCCGGGAAGAGGAAGAAAGAGAGGGUGUAAGAGCAGUGGGAAUGGGAACAUGGAGGAAACCUAACCUGUUUGUUUUCUCCUCCAGCAACAGAGGUGGAAGCUAAUCUUGGUUCAGUGUUUCCCAAUGCCUCCCAUUCCUAUCGUUCUUACACGCUCCUUCCUUUUCCCUUUGGCU